CGGGCGUCCACGCCGAAUCCGGGCCGCCCGUACGGGGUCCGGAACCGGGGACCCACACGCAGCACCGGGGUGAAUCGGUCCGCAACCCCCACCAGGACCGUAGGGCAGCCUUCCGUUCCGCCCGAACCCGACAGCUAACCCGGUAGGCGGUCCACGGAAGGAAAU
rnacentral:sRNA from 2 species